rnacentral:rRNA from 1 species
UUAGGUUAAGUUAUUAAGGGCGUAUGGUGGAUGCCUUGGCACUAGGAGCCGAUGAAGGACGUGACUAACUGCGAUAUGCUUCGGGGAGUUGUAAGUAAACUAUGAUCCGGAGAUUUCCGAAUGGGGAAACCUAACAGGUUUUACCGCCUGUUAUCACUAAGUGAAUUCAUAGCUUAGUUGAAGGUAGACGUGGGGAACUGAAACAUCUAAGUACCCACAGGAAGAGAAAGAAAUUCGAUUCCCUCAGUAGCGGCGAGCGAACCGGGAAGAGCCCAAACUAAGAAGCUUGCUUCUUAGGGUUGUAGGACUGAACAUCUGAGUUACCAAGAAAUGAAGUAGUUGAAUAAUCUGGGAAGAUUAGCCAAAGAGAGUGAUAGCCUCGUAAGCGAAACUUUGUUUCCUCAGUUCAGGAUCCUGAGUACGGCGGAACACGUGAAACUCCGUCGGAAUCCGGGAGGACCAUCUCCCAAGGCUAAAUACUACCUAGUGACCGAUAGUGAACCAGUACCGUGAGGGAAAGGUGAAAAGCACCCCGGGAGGGGAGUGAAAUAGUUCCUGAAACCAUAUGCCUACAAGUAGUCAGAGCUCGUUAAUGAGUGAUGGCGUGCCUUUUGUAGAAUGAACCGGCGAGUUACGUUAGCGUGCGAGGUUAAGGAGGAAAGUCCGGAGCCGUAGCGAAAGCGAGUCUGAAUAGGGCGAGAUAGUACGUUGACGUAGACCCGAAACCAGGUGACCUACCCAUGUCCAGGUUGAAGGUGCGGUAAAACGCACUGGAGGACCGAACCCGUGUAUGUUGAAAAAUGCUGGGAUGAGGUGUGGGUAGAGGUGAAAUUCCAAACGAACUUGGAGAUAGCUGGUUCUCUCCGAAAUAGCUUUAGGGCUAGCCUCGGAGUUAAGAAUCGUGGAGGUAGAGCACUGUUUGGACUAGGGGCCCGUCUUGGGUUACUGAAUUCAGAUAAACUCCGAAUGCCACAGAUUUAUAUCCGGGAGUCAGACUGCGAGUGAUAAGAUCCGUAGUCGAAAGGGAAACAGCCCAGACCACCGAUUAAGGUCCCAAAAUAUGUGUUAAGUGGAAAAGGAUGUGGAAUUGCAUAGACAACUAGGAUGUUGGCUUAGAAGCAGCCACCAUUUAAAGAGUGCGUAAUAGCUCACUAGUCGAGUGAUCCUGCGCCGAAAAUGUAACGGGGCUAAACACAUUACCGAAAUCGUGGAUGUACCGUAAGGUACAUGGUAGGAGAGCGUUCUAAGGACGGCGAAGCUAGACCGUAAGGACUGGUGGAGUGCUUAGAAGUGAGAAUGCCGGUAUGAGUAGCGAAAGAUCAGUGAGAAUCUGGUCCACCGUAUGACUAAGGUUUCCUGGGGAAGGCUCGUCCUCCCAGGGUUAGUCGGGACCUAAGCCGAGGCCGAGAGGCGUAGGCGAUGGAUAACAGGUUGAGAUUCCUGUACUGGUUAAACUUGUUUGAACAAUGGAGGGACGCAGGAGGCUAUCGAUGCGUACUGUUGGAUAUGUACGUUCAAGCAAUAAGUCUGUAG